AUGGGGGCGGGAAUGAGGCGCGCGAGGGAGAAGGAGGUAUUGUUGCUCGCGCUUUCGCUGAGCACGGACUCCUCGACGUCGUCUUCCACGACGUCGGCCGACUCGGCCAGUGCGCCGGCCAUGAAAAGGACGCGGCGGGGAAGAGUGGUGGCGACGUCGGGAGAAGGGGAGUUCGUGUGCAGGACGUGCGGCCGCGCCUUCACGACGUUCCAGGCGCUCGGGGGCCACCGGACCAGCCACCUCCGGGGGCGCCACGGGCUGGAGCUCGGCGUCGGUGUCGCCAGGGCCAUCAAGAAGCGGUAG
rnacentral:rRNA from 1 species